AUCGGCGGAGGCGGGGGCCAGGGCUGGAGGCAGAACGAAACGGGAAGGCAGGCCUAGUGGGGGUAAUGGCGAGCGGCAGUCGGGAGGAGAGGAGAGGACUGCGGGGAGGUGCGGGCGCUAGGCCCGCCUCGGCUCCGGCGUUGCGCCAAAGACCCGCUAGGAGGCGCCGCUGCCCCGCGAAGCCGUGCCCUGCCUCUAGCACCACCCAAACCCCGCGCUCCCGCCUAGAGAAGCCCCGGAAGAGGCGGGGCGGCGCACUCAGAUGCCGCUUCCGGUUUCAGCUUGGCCCCGAGGCAGGGGAGCCUGGUGCACGACAGGAGCUCAGGACAAGCUGAACCUGCUCUGUGGCCUGCGGUGAGCCUCGAAGUUAUCCUAGCUGUCCAGUUCAGGUGCUGCUGGACCAGCAUGCACAGACACAAGUCAUGCCUCCUCUGGUGCCCAUGAAGCCCUGGCUGGGCAACCAUCCUCCGCCCCCAGAACAAUGUCUCUUGAAAGGAUGAAAGGACUCCUGGGCUCCCAAGUGUAAAGGAAGCAGCAUGCCUGUGAUGUCCCUCGCUGGAUGACCGUGGUUGCGUCCUGACCCCUUCUGGGUCUCAGUGGCCUCAGCUUCAAAGCCAGGUGUUUCUCUAGCUCUGACUGUUGAUUUUCUCCCCAGCCUGUUCCCGAACCCACCCUCCCAGUCCCUGUUCCCACUUCCCUCAGUGAUCCUCUCCCUCUAAUACUCCCCACACCACCUCCACCAAGAAGGCUCCCUGACCUUCCCAGGCAUCAUGAGUUUCUACCCUCUCUGCACAAACAACUAUGGUGAAUAUUAUAUGGCAGGAUUAGUGUUUUCACCUCUCCCCGCUCCAGGGGGAACCCCUGGAAGGGUGGGUUAAACUUUGUGUGAUUCA